AGAAGUAAGAAAAAAAUCAAGAGUGAGAAAAUAGUCUUCUAAAGUUUUCUUGUUCAUAAAGUUCUUAGUUUGUUCAUAGAAAAAAAAAGAGUGUGCAGUGUAUGUUAGUCUUUUAUUACUUCAUUUUUCGGUAGCCGCUAGCUUUCAGGGGACUCCCGAAAGGGAAACCUUACUUCUUCCUUAAGACAUAUAAGUAGUCGUUAUAUAGUUCUUUGUACUUUUCUCCCUAAUUUGUAAAUUAUAUUUGAAUUAAUGAAGUUCAUAUUUUCUUUCUGAUAUGCUUUUAAUAUUAUAGAUCUGGACGACCGUGCAGAUUACCGCUAAUUUUAUGAUCUUGUAAAACUUAGUAAAUUACUUAUUAGUACAUAUGUUUAAAUAUUAUAGAUCUGGAUAGCUGUGCGGAUUACCGCCAGUUGUUCGAUCUUAUCAUAUUGGUAAAUUAUUUAUAAAUAUAUCCCUAGUAUAUGAUUAUUUUCUUAGUGUUUUAGCAGUAACGAUGGAUUAAUCUGUAAAUUUCAAGGGAUUUGAAAAGUCCAAAGAAGAUUAAAAAAGAACUGUUGUUAUUGUCCGGGGGUGUGAUUAAAGAAUAUAUUGCUAAAAUAUCUAAAACU
rnacentral:lncRNA from 1 species